GACUCCUUACACGAGUUCAGUCACCUGACAAGACAAGACAAGGACAUUGUUUGUUGUUGAGGAGUGAUCGUCACUUGAGGCCGGGGCCCACAAAGGAGGACUGUGUUAGGUGAACGCAGCCGGACCGGCAAAGCCACGUGACUACAAAAUUUGGUUCCUGUUGUGGCGCGGCAGGAGAGAGACCUGGGUUGGUUUUCACCGCCAGUUGACAGCCGGACACGAGUGCACAUUAUGUGGUCACCAGUGUGGAUUAGUGUGGUCGCCUGCUGUCUGUUGCCUAAUGCCGUUUCC